UCCUGUAACUCUGUGACACUUGUGUAUGAAUUGUUUCCAGCGAAUAAUGUUGCAGUUUUAACCUUCAUGUUAAUUUGUAACACCGAGCGAGCGAGCGGCGCGACAAAGUAUCAGUUGAUGAACGAUGCUUGUUACACGCUCGCGCGCGAUUGGGGGCGCUGCUCUUUUGUCUUCUUUUUUUUGGUUUAAUAAUCUGGCUUGCGAAACAAACCCUAAAACCCGACUCGAUUCCAGGGCGCCAUCUUGAGUACAGAACUCGCAGAAAUAAAUCACCCCGUACCUAAACGACACUGGAAUUGCAAAAAAACACUCAAAGGGUCAGAUUGUUUUUCCUCGUUAAAACUAAACUAAUAAAGACGCACACAUAAGUUGUAGCGGAAUACUCUCAAGUCAACGUUUCCUAUGGUGCUGUCGACAUUUAUCAUGAAUACCUUCAUGUUUGGCUCUCAGUUCUCAGCGCUGAUUGGUCUAUCUAGGCAUCAGUCAAGCUUAAGCCACUCCCCUUAACCCAUUCAGUCGCUUGCUGUAUUGUUCCUCCGUGUUGUUUACUGCUGUGUUUAGUGUAGCGAGCCGAGCACGUAUAUGCGGAGAUCUCUUCGAAAGCAGUUGUUUUUCCCCUUGUGUUUCGCAGAGUCUCUUUAGGAAUCCAACAUGCCUAAAAGAAAGAAUGCAGAGAGGGAUGCCAAGGAUGAGCCUCAGAGGAGAUCUGCACGGUUAUCAGCAGUACGUAUGUUGCCAUUUUCAGAUUGUGUGUGUGUGUGUGA